AAAUCUGGCGCUUGCGUCCGAGUUGUAAUUUGUAGAGGAUGAUUUUGGUUAGGUACCUUUCGAGUUCCUUGGAACAGGACGCCUUAGAGGGUGAGAGCCCCGUACGAUUGGAUGCCGAGCCUCUGUAAAUCUCCUUCGACGAGUCGAGUAGUUUGGGAAUGCUGCUCUAAAUGGGAGGUAAUUUCUUCUAAAGCUAAAUACCGGCCAGAGACCGAUAGCGCACAAGUAGAGUGAUCGAAAGAUGAAAAGCACUUUGAAAAGAGGGUUAAAUAGCACGUGAAAUUGUUGAAAGGGAAGGAUUUAUGACCAGACUUUUUCCAGGAGGAUCAUCCGGUGUUCUCACCGGUGCACUUCUUCUGGUUUAGGCCAGCAUCGACUUCCGGCGGCGGAUAAAAGCUUCAGGAAUGUGGCUCCCCUCGGGGAGUGUUAUAGCCUGUCGUAUAAUACGCUGCUAGGGGUCGAGGUACGCGCUUCUGCAAGGAUGCUGGCGUAAUGGUUAUCAAUCACCCGUCUUGAAACACGGACCAAGGAGUCGAACAUUUGUGCGAGUGUUUGGGUGUUAAACCCUCACGCGUAAUGAAAGUGAACGGAGGUGAGAGCCCUUACGGGUGCAUCAUCGACCGAUCCUGAAGUUUUCGGAUGGAUUUGAGUAAGAGCAUAACUGUUCGGACCCGAAAGAUGGUGAACUAUGCGUGGAUAGGGUGAAGCCAGAGGAAACUCUGGUGGAGGCUCGCAGCGG
rnacentral:rRNA from 1 species